rnacentral:rRNA from 1 species
UCCUGUUUUGACAUGUAUUUUGCUGUGAUCCACUCAGAACUCACAAGCCAUGCCCAGUUGGUCUGAGUACUUGGAGGGGAGAUCUCCAAGGAACACUGAAGUGCUGUAGGAA